rnacentral:rRNA from 1 species
CGAAGCCCCAGUGAACGGCGGCCGUAACUAUAACGGUCCUAAGGUAGCGAAAUUCCUUGUCAGGUAAGUUCUGACCCGCAUGAAAGGCGUAAUGAUUUGGGCACUGUCUCAACAGCCCGCCCGGCGAAAUUGUAGUACCGGUGAAGAUGCCGGUUACCCGCGACAAGACGGAAAGACCCCAUGGAGCUUUACUGUAGCCUAAUAUUGGGUUUCGAUGUUGCAUGCACAGGAUAGAUGGGACACUGGGAAGCAGGUGCUUUGGCGCUUGUGGAGUGGCCGUUGGGAUACCAUCCUUGCGAUAUUGGAAUUCUAACCUGCGCCUUUGAAUCAAGGCGGGGGACAUUGUUAGGUGGGCAGUUUGACUGGGGCGGUCGCCUCCUAAAGAGUAACGGAGGCGUUCAAAGGUUCGCUCAGCUUGAACGGAAAUCAAGCAAAAGAGUGCAAACGCAGAAGCGAGCCUAACUGCGAGACUGACGGGUCGAGCAGUAACGAAAGUUGGAGUUAGUGAUCCGGUGGUAUGUGAGUGGAAAUGCCAUCGCUCAACGGAUAAAAGUUACCCUGGGGAUAACAGGCUGAUCUCCCCCAAGAGUCCACAUCGACGGGGAGGUUUGGCACCUCGAUGUCGGCUCAUCGCAUCCUGGGGCUGUAUUCGGUCCCAAGGGUUUGGCUGUUCGCCAAUUAAAGCGGUACGCGAGCUGGGUUCAGAACGUCGUGAGACAGUUCGGUCCCUAUCUGUCGUGGGCGCAGGAUAUUUGAUGGGAGCUGUUCCUAGUACGAGAGGACCGGAGCGGACGUACCUCUGGCGCACCAGUUGUUCUGCCAAGAGCAUAGCUGGGCAACUAUGUACGGAUCGGAUAAACGCUGAAAGCAUCUAAGCGUGAAGCCGACCCAAAGAUAAGAUAUCCCAUUGUUUCAAACAAGUAAGACCCCUUGAAGACUACAAGGUUGAUAGGCACGAUGUGUAAGUGGAGUGAUCCAUUCAGCAAGAGUGUACUAAUAGAUCGAGGGCUUGACCAC